AGAGAGAGACUCUGUCUCAAAAAAAAAAAAAAAAAAAGAAAGAAAAGAAAUUUAUUUCCUAUGGUUCUGGAGGCUAGAAAGUCUAAGAGCAUGGUGUUGGCAUCUGGUGAGGUCCUUGCUGCAUUAACCCAUGGCAGAAAGCAAGGGGCACAAGGAAAUGUGUGCAAGAGACAGCUUGCUUUUAUAACAAAGGCACUUCAGCGAUAACCCAUUUGUGUGAUUAUGGCAUUAAUCCAUUUAUGAGGGCAGAUCCUCAUGACCCAUUUGCUCCCUGCAAAGGCCCCAUCACUCAACAACAUCGCAGUGGCAUCCAAGUUUCCAACAUGUGAACUUUUGAGGGACACAAUCAAACCACAGCACAAGUAUAUUAGUUUCCUGUGGCUGUUUUAACAAAUAACCACAAAUUUGGUGGCUUCAAACAACAGAAAUGUAUUCUCUCCUAGUUCUGGUGGCCAGAAGUGCAAAAUCAAAGUGUUGGCAAGACCAUACUUUCUCUGAAGGCUGUAGGGGAGGAUACUUCCUUGUCUCUUCCAGCCAUUGGUGACAUUCCUUGGCUUGUGACUGUAUCAGGCUGUAUCAUUCCAACAUUUUCUUCCCUCUUUAUAUGGCCUCCUUUGUGUCAUCUCCUCUUCUGUCUCUUACUGAGGCCCACCCAGAUAAUUCAUGAUGAACUCAAGAUCCUUCAGUUAAUUAUAGCUUCAAAGGCCCUUUUACCAUGUAACGUCACAUUCACAGUUCUGGGGGUCAGGAAAUGGACAUAUCUUUUCUGGAGCCACCAUCCAAACUACUGUAUCUUUGUACAAAGGAUAGGGGAUAUCGGACCAUUGACCAGGGACAGUAGGUGAGACCAGAGAUAACUCUCCCAAGUCCAUCCCCCAAAACAAACACAGUGGACAGGUAAAUGUAAACUCAACAUCUCAUGCAUGAAUGCCCCAAUCAUGUUACUAUAACCUCAGUCCAUCAUUUGUUUAAACCCAACAUCAUGGUACUUUUACUUCCCAGCCAGAAGAAUGUAUGAUUUUUUUUUCUAGACGAGAUUGGAUCGGGUAUUUCUUAAUAUUUUCUAGAGCACCUAUGCAGAUGGAACCAGAGGUCUGACAGUGAUAGAGAAAGAGCAUUCUUCCCUGUGUCCAGGGAACAGUGCCAGACAGGGAAACAGAAGGCCCAGGUGCCUCUUGCCCUAGCCUCCCACAGCUCAUGACAGCUUAGAUGGUAGGAACAGAAAGAUGGGAACAGAAGAUGACAUGAUGACCAAAGCCAGCCAGUUGGGUUGGACUCAAGAAUUUGACCUCCCAAAGCCAGGCAUGUGGUUUUGAAGCAAGCUGCCUUUUUAAAAAGUGACUUUAUUGCCAUUUCACACACCCAUUUCAAAAGGAGAGUGAUUUACAAAUCACCUGAAGAUAGACUUUCAAAUUUGGAUAUUUAAAAAAGAAAGUUUUACUGUAGUCAUGAGGUAGUAUCAAAGUUUACCAAAAGUUUGUAUUGAGAGAGAACAAACAAUAUAUGCUGAUAUGAAAAGCAACUGUACUUAGAAAGCUACUUUUUGUGUUCUUAGAAAGUUACUCCUUGGGUUUUCUUAUUAGGCAUAGUUCUCCAGACUGAGUUGGUUUUACUCACCUGCAUGAUUUUUCCUUGCCUUAUGGAACAUAAAUUCAGGCCUGCUCGAAUUCAGUUAUUGGAGAGCUCUUUAAAAUCCAGCAUUUGUGAUUUAAAUGAUGCUGAAGGGCUUUAAUUACCUCUGUCUUUGCUUAUUUCCCUGUGGCCCUCAGAACACUGCACCCUGACUUUUAGGGGAGAUCUAUAGAAGCAGAGGGUUUCACUUGCCUCAAUUGUCACUAGCCCAGUCACAUUUCUCCUUCCAAGCCUUGGCCUCACAGGGAAUUUCUCGUUAUUGAACAAUUGCCUUCAAAGCAGUAGAAUAGGCCAAUUGUUAUGGAGAUUAAAGAUACCAAUUGCAAAACUCCUGUAAAUAAAAUCUUCACUGACAAACCCAGUUUCUUUUCAUAGACUUUUCUUCUGUAAUCUCUUUCUGGCAGAACAUCUUAUGUUUUGAUGUUAGAGAUUCGGUUACCAACCACAGUAAAUAAAGCAAAAUAAUAACAGAAAAAUAGUAUAGAACUCGCCCUAAAAACAAACAUGGGUCAAUCAUGUUUAUUUUCGUCUCUCUGUGCACUCCUGAGAAUUGAUAGGGAAAGAAUGUACCACCUCUUAUUCAGGUGAUUUCUGAUUUGCCAGCUAUGGAAAGUCUUCAGGUGGAGUUUUAGCUGGUUCACGCUCCCCUAAAUGGCAUGGAACAGACCAUUUUCUGUUUUAAAGAAACAAGUAUUUUUAAGAGAAAACAGAAUAGUGGCACUAAAUGUUUGGCUGAAUCAUGCCUAGGACAGAUUGGACAGAAAAGACAGCCACUUCCUCCAGACUCAGGAUGAAGUACCACUGUCCUGGUACCAUCAAUAUUCCAUAUGACUUUAGGGUCAUGUUUAGGGUUUAGAACUUUCUAAAUAGGGUUUCAAGAUUGUAAAAAGCAUCUUCCAAUUCUGAUCUCUAUAAAUCCUAUUAUGGGAAUUAACUAACCUUUUUGGAAGGGGAUUCUUUUUCUUAAAGAGGAAAUUCCCUACUUUCUUUCCCAGAGGAAAUUAGUGUGGGCAGAGGGAAGAGGAGAUGGCGUUCCUGACUUGUGAGUCUCAUGUCACCUAACCGCUAUUGGGUGGCAUGAAACUUGAGCUUUAAAACAGGCCAGGGGCCGGGCACGGUGGCUUAUGCCUAUAAUCCCAGCACUUUGGGAUAUUGAGGCAGGUGGAUCACCUGAGGUCAGGAGUUCAAGACCAGCCUGGCCAACAUGGCGAGGUCGCUACUAAAAAUACAAAAAUUAGCUGGGUGUAGUGGUGAGUGCCUGUAAUCCCAGCUAUUUGGAAGGCUGAGGCAGGAGAAUCUCUUGCGCCUGGGAAGCAGAGGUUGCAGCAAGCCAAGAUCGCACCACUGCACUCCAGCCUGGGCAACAAGAGUGAAACUCCAUCUCAAAAGAAAAACCACCAGAAAUGGAAAUGGUGCUUAAUUUUUCAACUGUCCUGGUUCUUCCACCCAAUCUGAAUUGGGUCAUCUGAGCCUCCGUAAGUCAACAUGGUCAGUUCUGUUUAAUAAGACUCGGGCCAUUGUAGCGGCCAGCUCAAUCCUCCUGGAAGUAUGGAGGACAUUGUAGGAUCCUUCAGUUGGUGUCAUAAAAGCAAAGCAUCUCUAGGGAAGACCUGUGAGUCAGGCCUCAAGGCCCCCGCUGAGUCAGUGCUAGCUUGGGUGUCAGGAGCUCUCUUGUCUGGGACAGUUAAGUCUUCCAGCCCUGUAAAUUGCCAGUUCCUGCUAUGGAUGAUGUCCUCUUUACCUUACGGCUUUGUAUGUUCAACCUGAGUCAUUCCAAAGCCAGAUCCAGGACCCAGAGAGCUUAUGCUGUGCCGGUUCCUCCUUACAUCACUAGAAGGACUACAUAUGUACACUUGCUUUGGGGUUUUUUUAAAGAACAUCUCAAGAUGAAAAGGGAGGAAGAAAUCACAUGAUUAGGGAUGGCACUUCCUGGAGUUGCAGGUCAUAUGAGGGAAGCGAACACGGUGGUUUUAUGAAGUCUCAUGGGAUUAUUACACUGUUGUGGCCACUCUCACUCCAUUAGUGCAUCUCUCUGCACAUAUCAGAUGGCAAAUUGUAUAAUGAUAAAGUUAUUUAAAUAUCUGUAAAAGUCAGCACAAGCUCAAGGGCUCGACAUGGCCUUUCUGCCCGUUAAGUGGUUUAUUUAGCUCUCUCAUCUCAAGGCCGGUUAAUCUUCAUCUGUACUUUGUUGUAAAUCACCCACUGUGUGGAACAACCAUAAAAAUUGCCUGAGUUUUAAGACGUGCUUCUUUUGGUUGUCCAGGAAGACUGGUAUCUUAAAGAUGAAUGCAGAAGCUUUUGAAGCAUUAGACUCACCCACUUUCCCAUUUUAAAAUGGUAGUCUUUGUUUGUGAUUGUGUCUAUACCUGGGUUAUCAUAGAGCAGCUAAGACAGCAAGAUUAUGACAAGGAGAUUGCCUAGUUCAUAUGUUUGCCAAAGGGAGUCAUAAAAUAAUGAUAGCUCAUAUUUAUAGAACAGACCAAUGGUGUUGGUUCAUUGAAUCCCCACCGCCAAUCACCUGUAGGUGCAUGACAUGGUUAGGUGGAGCAUUGCCCGGAAGGUCCUGCCUGUGGUGCCUGCUCUGUUUUCAUGUGACUGGGCACUGUUUCCUUUACCACCAAGUUCCAGACCCUCAUCUGUCAUGUAAGUGAUUAACCGAGUUGUCUUAAACACUAACAUUCUGUCAUUCUGGAUACUACAGUUCCCAUGAAUGAAUAGUCACCCCUAAUGAACAUUCUCAGGAAAACCAGUAGGGCUGCCCCAGAGUCCCUCACUCUGCUGCUGUUUUAGAAGAAGCAUUUAUAGUUUUGCUGUGUGAGAGGCUCUGAGCCACCAUAUGUUCCUAAAUGAGAGAAGUCAUUGCCCAGACAUGGAUCUGUUUAAUUUAAUAUGAUUUACCACAAAUUACGAAGCAUGACUUCGAAAUUGAAUUUCUGCAAAAUUACUGAUGGCCAAUUCAUGUGGAAGGGAAGGGAAAUCUUGUUAUUCCUAUGCCAGAAUCUCUUCCCGAUUUCCUCAUUUGAUUCUUUCACGCCUUGGGGUAGGGGAGGGGAAUGCAUUCGCAGCUCUAUAAAAAAAUUGUUCUUAUUUUCGAACUUUCUCCCUGGUCACUCAUGGCUCCCUCAGAGGAAGACACAGCAUCCUGGAGAUGUGGAGGCAGAAGUCAGUUCUUCUGUCCAUCCCUCUCCCCAGGCAGGAUAGAGCGACCCUUUCCAUCUCAUCCUCAGAAAGGACUCAGAAGAAACAUGGCAGCCUGCAGAAUGGGCUUGAUGAGUAAGGCAGAACGUGGGUCUGUAAUUCCUCUGUGACACUGCUCCCCCUCUGCAAACUGUCGUAGCAAUGAUAGCUCCUAACUCAUGGGAGCACUGUGAGGAUUAAAUGAGUUAGCUUGAUGCGCAGCACAUGGGAAGCACUGUGUUACUUAUUAAUCCUUCACAAAGUCAUCCCAAGGAUUGAGAUAUAUUUUUAACAAAUAUUUAGCAUGGAUCCUGGUACUCUGUCAAUACUUAAUAAAUGGUCAGUGUUAUUCUUUUUACUCUCAUUGCUAUCUGUGUGCCCUCAUUGGUGGCACUGGUGUAUCACCAGGUAAUUGUACCCAUCGGUCUUCUCUGAGUCACACAUUUACUCUGCGAUAAUUCCCCCUGGUGUCUCCUUCUUACUCAGGAGUGAUUAUAGCCCCAGAGUGGACAAACCUAGUGGCAGUUAUAGUGGUAUUUUCAUUUGAGUUUUGUUUCCUUGGAUAAACUCAAACAGGAGAACUUCCCAUAACCACUGCUGCACAAGACCAAAUGGUAAACUAUUACAGGACCUUAAACUUCUUUGCUCAAAGCCCUGUAUUUUACUCAUGAGACACUUGAGGCCCAGGGAAUUCCAGUGAUUGUCCCAAUUAGAGGCAGACCUAACAUCCAGGUUUUUGGGCUUCUGGCCCAGUGCUCUUCCCAUUGGCUGGUUGUGGUUCUGCCUCGAAGGUAGCCUAGAAACAAAGUCUCUGGGGUUGGUGUGCAUCAUUCACUUGGGCACUGAACCAUGCUGUGCCUCACAUUGCGUUUUUCUAGAAAUACACCGUCUCAGAGAGAUGCUAGAUCCCCGUGGUUGGGUUCAAUAUCAUAUGCUGCUUCCGAGUCUCCACUUUUAAAAUGUUGAAUUCAUGCUAAGGAGUGAUUCUGGUUGUUUUUUUUUUUUUUUUUUUUUUUU